GAAAUAAAAAAGAAAAGGAAAUAAGCCAAACCUAGGUCUUCAGCAGGGAAAGAGAAGACAAAGUGACAGUGCAGCAGCACAAGCUUCGUGGGGCAAAUGACAGAGAUGCCGUGGAGGUAAGGCAGUCAGCAUAUCUAGACACCGCACAAGCCGUGGAGCUAACAGCCACACACUCUAUGGCAGGUACUGGAGUGCUUGACAGCUUCAUACCACAGACCAGCAGAUGCCUCCCGCUGCGCUAGUUUCAGGAAUUCACUGCAUCUGAUAACAUUUUGCCUGUUACAUAUACAAUUAUUUGGUAAAUGAAAGAUCAUUGGCUGGCAUUAUUGAUACACAAACUGAUACUGUGUCAAGCCUCAAAACAGGAAACGGCUUAUAAAAACACAGGAUUGUACAAAGCAAAUCCACUGAAUGAAUGUGCUCACGGAUUAGGGACCAGAGCCAUCUCUUAUUAGUCAUUAGGUUUUCAAUAAGAAAAGUCACUCAACUUUCAGGAACAAACGCAGGAAGAUUAGAUUAAAUCAGUUCAGCUUCUCUGCUCAAAGCAUGAAUAACACUUGUUAAAGGGCAAGAACACAAAAUAGGCAGAAGUCUCCCGCAAAGAAUCAGUGCCCAAGCUCAGUUUAGCGAUGGUGAAACUUCUCAGCCCUUACAAUCUUAUCAAAGGAGCUGACACUGUCUGUUCUCCACAUAGACCUAACACUGCUAACGACAGGAUUGCAAACAGGAGUCCAGCACAGUGCACCAGCCACCAGCAAAACAUCUGGUGCCUAAUAUGCUCUCAUUUAAAAAAAAAAAAAGUUAAAUGAAAUGAAACACAUUACUGAAAUAUUUUAAAAACAAUCAAAAUAUCAGUUGAACUACCCCUAUUAAGGCCCUCUUCAACUCUAAGAGCUACCUCUAUUUCUUUCAUUUGUUCCCCAGGACAGAAAGCACGUGGGGACCUGGCACUGUGUGAAGUGCUUUAUCAGCAAGAUCUCAUUCACUUCUCAAUUUCCAGGGAGGUUUUUACAGAAGAGGAAACCGUGACCCAGGAAGUAAGGUAACUGUUAAGCAGCAGCAGCAACAAGGGGGCAACAGCAACUAGAGCAGCUGUGGAGGUGGCCACGGGAAGACCAGCGCCAGACAUCAUGGAUUUGGGCGCUGCCCACCUGCAGGCUCACGGUGCCUUGUCUGAUACUCUCUAUGACCCUGAGAACUAAGUGUCUUGUCUCCACGCGACCUCAGGAACUCCAGCUGCAGGACCCAAAAUCUGCUCCUCCCAGAGCUCCCAACUCUUGUUAAGACUCAAGAUAAAAAUACACGAAGGAGUGGAAUAUACUGCAGCAACAACAAAAACCUUCAUCCACUGAAAAUGAUGACAGUUUAACAAAGCACAUACACUGUGUCAGACCUAAACCAUAGAUUCUAAAGUGGCACUAAAAACAGAGAUCACUACUGCUGGACAUAACCUAUAAGGAGACUGAAGGGGUGCCACGUGUUAGACUGCCAAGCAGCAGUCACGCUAGUUGAUUCUAAGAGCCGCCUCCAGUGAAACUUACCGAAACCAAAAAAGACUCAUUCAGAGUUUCCAAAAUCAGAGCAUCAUCGUUUCUACAUUUGAAGCAUGACUAAGGUAAAAAGUUUUCCCCUAAAUUAUGACAAGAAGGUGGAUAAGAAUUCAGUGGCUUUUGGGAGACGAGGGGUGACCCCAAAGAGCUUGUGACAAAUGGGGAAGCCCUCCUACAGCGUAACCAACCUCUCCUUAGUGACUCUCAGGCUCAGGUUAAUGGCUGCUAUGUUUCAAGUGCUACUUCUAUGAAAGACUGAACAGGGGGUGGGGGGCUUUAUCAACAAUUACAACUUGCUCCACGUACUUCUCACAUUUUCUCUGGCGGUCCCUUCCAGGUCUGUCAGCUGCCAUCCAGCAGUUGUGCAAGUUGAAAGAAGCUAAAUGGUGCUGCUCUGGGAGGGAGACUGCAGGUUUAAACUAGUGUUAGGGCAGAUUACACACAACUGUCCCUCCACACAGUCUGGACCAGGACUAAAGCCACAGACAGCCCCUAUUAUCACAGACUCUUUUAUAAAAGUCUAAAGACUCUGCCUCUAACGUUGAGGUUACAGUCCCUCUUUGCUGGCUCACUGUGCUUGCAUCUUCCGUUACUAGUUUAUCUCAGAGGUCUAAACUUUCAAAAUACAUUUUUGGAAGAAAACAGUCCUUUGGUUUAUAGCAGAAACUUGUAUGACCUCCUUAUUCUGCCUCUAGGAAAUCUAUUCUUUUUUCUUCUGCACUUCUCCUUUGAUGCUUUUGGAAACCUCUCUUUACCGUUACCUCAUCUCUCAUGUUUAUCCUCAAAAGCCUGCAUGCUCUUCAUAAUGCUAUUUUACUGGUAUUAUAAACAUACCUAGAAGCAAAACGUCCAUUAACUUUGUCUUAUCUCAUUUAGAGAUGCACUACAUGUUAGCAUGUUGAACGCAAUCUCAAUUUGGAUCCCUAGAAACUGCUUCAUCUACUGUCUUCUGAGAAAUCACUGAAAAUACUAAAGCCCCCACUUUCAUUUAAAAGCUGUUACUCCUCCCCGGGGUUUGAAUCCAGAAACACACGUUGAAGAGACAAACAUUGUGCUGUAGUAAUACUACACACACUUCAAAGACCGUAUUUACCCACAGUGGAUGGAAGGUCCUCUGAGGAAAAGGAGAGAUUGAGACCCCUGACACUUGGUUUAGCUGAGUAACUCAACCAAAGGACAUCUCACUAAGAGAGACAGGAACGGGCACAUUUUCAGUGCCAACAUGAGAAUACGGCAAGGUGAAUGAGCUUACUCCCUGUUGGAAUGAUGUCAUCUAGGAGUGGCUCUGUACUUGAUUCUGCUGGUACAGAAAAACACGUGGUCCAUACACCCCCAAGAUCAUGGUGCCACAGGAAAGAGCACCCACGCUGUAGGAGAGGGAAAGGCCACAGCUGGAGUGUUAGGCAAAGCUGCUGCACCUGAACACUGGGUGAGGAAUGUCCACCCACCAUCAAUGCCCUCACUCAAUGACUUAUUUACAGUGUGCCUACGUUGUGCCAGGGGCUGAGGAAAUUGACAGCAGACAAAAACAGGCACUGUCGCUACUCUCAAAGAGCUCAGUCUGGAACUCUCUUAAAAGAUUAGAAAUCCAAGAGUUAAAGGGAAUUAAUUAAAGAGGGCACUCUACUUUGGGAGAAAGUCCAAAAGAUCAAUCACUAAUCUUUUAGAGAAGCACAAGUCCCAGGCAGACCAUAAGCUCAAAGCCACCUCCUAGCUCUUUCUUUUUCUCUCCACUUUCUCAACUUUGUCAGUGCUCCCCAAGGCCAAAGGCGACUGAGUCCGAAGAUUUCUUCUUUUGGAGUUCUUCUGUGGAAUAUUCAUUCCAGCUCACGGAAUAAUCUUUGGCAUAAUCCAUGCCCUCCCUCUUCCCACCCCAAUGCUUGCAGUCUGCUUCUUCACAGUAUGUGAGAUAGAAAUGAUGUGAGGGAUCUUGGAUUAAAAUGGGAAUGUUCCUUUAACAUAUUUUCAAAAAACUUUUGAGAUGGAUUUGGGUCUCAGCAUUAUUGUGUUCCAAAAAUUAUAAAGGAAAUUUUAUGAGUUCGACUUUAUCUUUGAAUUUCACUAAAUAAUUGGAAGGCUGGGUGAUCUUCAUUAUAUUGGGCUUUUGGGGGCCUCUAGGCCAUGGUUAGGCUGUAUUUUAAACAGGGCUAAGGAUUCAGACCACAAGGCCCAAAUGUUUGGAGCUGAAUCUCAGGUUCAAUGUACAAAUUUCAACACUCCACUCUAUCUUAGUCUCAAUUGCAUAUAUCAACACUUGUAGAUAAUUUCAGUCUUCAGUUCAAAAGAAAAAGCCAUGUAGGCAGAUAUGCACAUAAAUUACAAACAAAAGAUAUAAUGAUGAGACCAACACAUGUAAGAUAAAUAUGUAGCUAUUUGUUCACAAAAUGUUAAUGACAAAAAAAAAAAUUCCUCCUUGGAAUUCCUUAGAGUUGAAAAUUUAAAGGUAGUUGAAAGACAAAGCAGACGUUAUUUAGCAGAUCAAUUCCCAACAAUUCCCUGAGAGGACUGUGUAUCAAAAUGGCACUACUGGAAAAGGUAGUGACAUACCUUUUAAUAUGCAGUGCUGUAGGUGCUAUGCAUAAAAUAAGAAGCAAUGUGUAGGCAGUAGCAGUUGAAUUGUUGAUGCACUCAAACAGUUGCCUUGAAGAAUAAUAAAACUGAGCAUGAAAUGAAAGGUUCAUGCAGGUCUAUGAGCAAAACAAAAACAGAAACCCAGAAACCAGCCCCACUCCCCAGUC